rnacentral:rRNA from 1 species
UGGGUAAUAUUGCACAAUGGGGGAAAUCCUGAUGCAGCGACGCCGCGUGAGCGAAGAAGGUUUUCGAAUCGUAAAGCUCUGUCCUAUGAGAAGAUAAUGACGGUAUCAUAGGAGGAAGCCCCGGCUAAAUACGUGCCAGCAGCCGCGGUAAUACGUAUGGGGCGAGCGUUGUCCGGAAUUAUUGGGCGUAAAGGGUACGUAGGCGGUCUAUUAAGUCAGGUGUGAAAGCGUGAGGCUUAACCUCAUUAAGCACUUGAAACUGAUAGACUUGAGUGGAGGAGAGGAAAGUGGAAUUCCUCGUGUAGCGGUGAAAUGCGUAGAUAUUAGGAGGAAUACCGGUGGCGAAGGCGACUUUCUGGACGUUUACUACCGCUCAUGUACGAAAGCGUGGGGAGCAAACAGG